rnacentral:rRNA from 1 species
GGACUACCAGGGUAUCUAAUCCCGUUCGCUACCCUAGCUUUCGCGCCUCAGCGUUAGAAAAGGUCCAGCACGUCGCUUUCGCCACCGGCGUUCCUUCCGAUAUCAACGCAUUUCACCGCUCCACCGGAAGUUCCACAUGCCCCUACCUCCCUCGAGACCAUCAGUAUCCAAGGCAAUUUUCCGGUUGAGCCGAAAGAUUUCACCCCGGACUUGAUAGCCCGCCUACGCGCCCUUUAAGCCCAGUGAUUCCGAACAACGUUUGCACGGUUCGUCUUACCGCGGCGGCUGGCAC